rnacentral:snRNA from 1 species
CAUGCUUCUCGGCCUUUGGGCUGAGAUCAAGUGUAGUAUCUGUUCUUAUCAGUUUAAAAUCCUUUGCAGUCUUAUACACUGAAAAUAAAAAGUCAGAAAGAGAAACUAAGGAAACAAUCCCAU